UUUGUGUCUGUGUGUGUGUGUGUGUGUGUGUGUGUGUGUGUGUGUGUGUGUGUGUGUGUGUGUGUGUGUGUGUGUGUGUGUGUGUGUGUGUGUGUGUGUGUGUGUGUGUGUGUCAUGAUGAUGUGUGUAUAGGUGGAGAUCCUAGCCUUCCUCCAGGAGCCCAAGAAGAUUGGCCUGAAGGGAAAUGAUGGGAGGAGCUACACUGUGAUGUGUAAACUUAAAGAUGACCUCCGGAAAGACUGUCGCCUCAUAGAAUUCAACUGCCUCAUCAACAAGGAUGCAGAGUCCAGGAGGAGGGAGCUCCAUAUCUGUACAUAUGCUGUGAUCCCACUGAAUGAGGAGUGUGGCAUCAUCGAGUGGGUCAACAACACUGGAGGUCUCCGACACAUUCUGAACAAACUCUACUAGGAGAGAGGUAUCCUGAUGUCAGGUAAAGAGUUGAGGAAGUUCAUUCUUCCUAAGACUGCAUCAUUUGAGGAGAAGCUGUAAGUACAUAAGGACAUCCUGUGUGCCAGACACCCCCCUGUCUUCUAUGAAUGGUUCCUCCGAACCUUCCCUGACCCCACCACAUGCAUCAGGUCAGCCUACUGUCGCUCCACAGCGGUGAUGUCCGUGGUGGGCUACAUCCUGGGUCUUGGAGACCGCCAUGGAGAGAACAUCCUGUUUGACUCAUUCACGUCGACUUCAACUGCCUCUUCAACAAGGGUGAGACGUUUGAUGUUCCGGAAGUGGUUCCGUUCAGACUGACCCAGAACAUGGUCCAUGCUAUGGGCCCUAUGGGGACAGAGGGGCUGUUCAGAACCGCCUGUGAAGUCGCGCUACGCCUGAUGAGAGACCAGAGAACCACUCAUGAGUGUACUGAAGACAUUUCUCCCAUGACCCUCUGGUAGAGUGGAGUAAACCCAAAGGACGAUCCAAGACACAGGCCAGUGAGAAUGGAGAGAUAGUCAACGAGAAGGCCAAGACCCAUGUGUGUGAGAUUGAUCAGCGUUUGCAGGGCGUGAUAAAGAGUCGUAACAAGGUGUUGGGUCUGCCUCUGUCUAUAGAGGGACACGUCCACUACCUGAUACAGGAGGCUACCGACGACAAACUACUGGUGUCAGAUGUACCUGGGCUGGGGACCUUACCUGUGAUACACACGGCUUCUCUGAGACACUGUUUACAAUGUUCAAUAUUUGACUUGUUCUGUUAUCAAUGAAAUUCUCUUCCUUUUUCAUGUUUUGUAAAUCUGGAGUAAUUGUUAUGUUUUUCAUGGGGCAGUUGCAAAUUUUACCGUAAUAAAAAAAUAUGUAUUUUC